rnacentral:rRNA from 1 species
UACGUAGGGUGCGAGCGUUAAUCGGAAUUACUGGGCGUAAAGCGUGCGCAGGCGGUUUUGUAAGCCAGAUGUGAAAUCCCCGGGCUUAACCUGGGAAUGGCAUUUGGGACUGCAAGGCUGGAGUGCGGCAGAGGAGACUGGAAUUCCUGGUGUAGCAGUGAAAUGCGUAGAUAUCAGGAGGAACACCGAUUGCGAAGGCAGCUCGCUGGGACGUCACUGACGCUGAGACGCGAAAGCGUGGGGAGCAAACAGG